GUGUGAGCUGCGUGUGCGCGUCUGACGCUCACGACCAGCGGGUCACAUGGUGUCAUGCACAGCCACCGCGCUGACGUCACAAUGGAAUCUCAGCGACGCGCUGAGGAAGAACAAGGGAAACUGCGUGCGCGCAGCCGGGUGAAGUGCGGCGCAUUUCUCCGGUAAACGACGAGUGGGGCCGCGUGCACACGGAGUUCACCGUCUCUGAUGGGGAAAUACGUCGUGCCGACGUCACCGGCCACAACAUUGCCCGACCACAUCUGCCCCCCCCGCCAUCACCUCUGUUCUCGCUGAGAACGGCGCGCUGCGUCCUGGUGGUCUUUGGCGCCCCCUGCCGGACUACCGGAGGAGGACCACGCUCGGAGAACAAUGGCACACAGGCACUAGAGAACACUGUUGUGUUUUGUUUUUUUACUCAUUUAAAACACAGCUAGACAUGCACAUGUGUCCAUGAGUGCAUUGGCGCUUUCCCUCAGUGGUGGUUAAGUCUCCACGCGAGCAGCCACGGAUCCUCCCCCCAAAGAAACAUCUGGCCGGUGUAAAGCAAGUGUGUUUGAAACGCAGGCCAGUAAACCUCCCCUAAUAACAACGCACAGUUCACCGUCAAAGGGAGCAUUGCAUAUCCCCUUUCAUCCGCGCAGGGCCUUUGAGACGGAGACGGGAGAGGGGUUUGAAGGGAGGGGAGCGGAUUGGAGUCGGCUCGUUUUUGCCCCAGGGGUGUGCGCUGCUGCUGCUGCUGCUGCUCUCGUCUUUGUCUGAAGACUGAUUAACAGAAAGAAGGACAGUGACUGUGAAUUGUGUGUUCUGUAUAAAGCUGCCAUUGUCUGCAACCUGUACUGCAUUUUAUGUGUGAAACAGAGGGAACUCCAGAUAAAAGGUGCCUUCAGAUUGUUGCAUUUUUAUUCUCACUCAAAUGUAAAAACACUAUUUUUGGAGUAGAGGCCCUGCAGAGCUAAAUACAAUGCAUGUAGGUCACACAAGUAAGAUUAGUCAUAUGCACAAAGGCCACUUGGUGUAAUGUUGUAGCUGAUUGUGGUGGAAUUAGCCCUCAUGAUUUGACAUUUAUUGGGGUUUACUAAAUAGCAUCAUGUUAC
ensembl:lncRNA